ACUCGGAUCUCUCUCAUAAUUCUCGGCUUUGUUCGUAUUUCGUGUGUCACAAAUCACAAAUCUUUUCAAAAGCCCAUCAGAAAAAUAAUCUGAGCUCGUCAUCUUCAUCUGAUUUUUUUUUCACUGUCUUCGAAGCGGUUGUUUUUGUCCGUACGUGAUGAUUUCGAAUAUGUCGAAGAAGCUUUAGAAAACAUAAGAUUAGGGUUUCCAAUUUUCUCUUUUUUUCUAAAUGGCGGUGGAGUAUGAAUGCUGUGAGACAAACUUCUUCAUACACAUCGUAGUGAUAGUGUUUCUUGUCUUGUUCGCUGGACUCAUGUCUGGUCUUACUUUGGGUCUUAUGUCCAUGAGUCUCGUUGAUCUUGAGGUUCUGGCUAAAUCCGGUACACCCAGAGAUCGUAAACAUGCUGCAAAGAUAUUACCAGUUGUGGAAAAUCAGCAUCUGUUGCUUUGCACUUUACUAAUAUGCAAUGCAGCUGCUAUGGAGGCACUUCCUAUUUUCCUUGAUGCCCUUGUGACGGCUUGGAGUGCUAUUCUGAUUUCUGUGACAUUGAUUCUUCUCUUUGGUGAGAUUAUACCUCAGUCUGUCUGUUCCCGUCAUGGUUUGGCAAUUGGCGCAAUAGUGGCACCAUUUGUCCGUGUUCUAGUCUGGAUCUGCUUUCCAUUUGCGUGGCCGAUUAGUAAGCUGCUGGACUAUCUACUGGGUCAUGGUCGUGUAGCACUUUUCCGCAGAGCCGAGCUGAAAACACUAGUGGAUUUUCAUGGGAAUGAGGCUGGUAAAGGUGGAGAGUUGACACAUGAUGAGACAACAAUCAUUGCUGGAGCUCUUGAACUAUCAGGGAAAAUGGCUAAAGAUGCAAUGACACCAAUUUCUGAGACUUUUGUGAUUGAUAUCAACGCCAAACUAGACAGAGAUUUGAUGAAUUUGAUUCUUGAGAAAGGGCAUAGCAGGGUCCCUGUAUACUACGAGCAACGUACAAACAUAAUUGGACUUGUUUUGGUCAAGAACUUAUUGACUAUCAAUCCAGAUGAAGAAAUACAAGUCAAGAAUGUGACUAUACGAAGGAUCCCAAGAGUUCCAGAAACCUUACCGUUAUAUGAUAUAUUGAACGAGUUCCAGAAAGGACACAGCCACAUGGCUGUUGUUGUGAGACAAUGGGACAAAAUCCACCCCUUACCCGGUAAUGAUGCUCUUAACGAGAGUUUAAACGAAGUCAGAGUGGAUGUGGAUAAUGAGAGAUCCCCACAAGAAAAGAAGUUGAAGAGAAGGAGAUCACUUCAGAAAUGGAAAAGCUUUCCAAACCGAGCAAAUUCGUUUAAAGGAGGGUCUAGGAGUAAAAGGUGGUCAAAGGAUAAUGAUGCCGACAUUCUGCAACUUAACGGACAUUCACUGCCAAAACUAGCCGAGGAGGAAGAAGCUGUUGGUAUCAUUACAAUGGAAGAUGUCAUUGAAGAACUUCUACAGGAAGAGAUAUUUGAUGAGACGGAUCAUCAUUUUGAAGACUCGUGACAGAUACUACUACAGGAGAUCAACAUUUGGUGGCAGAACUCAGCAAAUCCAAUACGUACAAGUUUUGUUGUGAAAAGUUCAUAUAAAAGCUACUGCUUAAGUAAAUAGUUAGUGUCAAAUCUACAAGUUGUGCGGACAUUAGGAAUAGAAGCCUACGUGAGAAGUUCAAUCUAGUAGUGGAGGCCUUUAUUAACUCAAUGGAGUGAAAAGAAACACAUCAGAAGCUGAUCCACUUGAAGAUACCACAAGAAAUCUCAUACGGACCCGACAAGGACCAAACAGAGGACAUUGCAAGUUUAACUUACAAACGACAUAUAUUGAUAAACUGAGAAAACGUGAAAAGAUGUGACUGGCAAAUUGGACCGAGGGAGAAGGUACAUCGAUGAGGUCGGAGAGAAUUGUUU